rnacentral:rRNA from 1 species
UUGGAGGGCAAGUCUGGUGCCAGCAGCCGCGGUAAUUCCAGCUCCAAUAGCGUAUAUUAAAGUUGUUGCAGUUAAAAAGCUCGUAGUUGAAUUUCGGGGUUAGUAGGUUGGUCAUGCCUCUGGUAUGUACUGGUCUCACUGAUUCCUCCUUCCUUAUGAACCGUAAUGCCAUUAAUUUGGUGUUGCGGGGAAUUUGGACUGUUACUUUGAAAAAAUUAGAGUGUUUAAAGCAGGCUAACGCUUGAAUACAUUAGCAUGGAAUAAUGAAAUAGGACGUUCGAUCUUAUUUUGUUGGUUUCUAGGAUUGACGUAAUGAUUAAUAGGGAUAGUUGGGGGCAUUAGUAUUCAAUUGUCAGAGGUGAAAUUCUUGGAUUUAUUGAAGACUAACUACUGCGAAAGCAUUUGCCAAGGAUGUUUUCAUUAAUCAAGAACGAAAGUUAGGGGAUCGAAGACGAUCAGAUACCGUCGUAGUCUUAACCAUAAACUAUGCCGACUAGGGAUCGGAUGAUGUUAAUUUUUUUAAUGACUCAUUCGGCGCCCUUACGGGAAAACCAAAGUGUUUGGGU